GACGAACGCUGGCGGCGUGCUUAACGCAUGCAAGUCGAGCGGUAAGGCCCUUUCGGGGGUACGACGAGCGGCGAACGGGUGGAGUAACACGUGGGUGACCUGCCCUUACGCUCUGGGAUAAGCCUGGGAAACUGGGUCUAAUACCGGAUAUGACUCCAUAACGCAUGUUGUGGGGUGGAAAGCCUUGUGCGGCUAGGGAUGGGCCCGCGGCCUAUCAGCUUGUUGGUGGGGUGAUGGCCUACCAAGGCGACGACGGGUAGCCGGCCUGAGAGGGCGACCGGCCACACUGGGACUGAGACACGGCCCAGACUCCUACGGGAGGCAGCAGUGGGGAAUCUUGCGCAAUGGGCGAAAGCCUGACGCAGCGACGCCGCGUGGGGAGUGAC
rnacentral:rRNA from 1 species